rnacentral:rRNA from 1 species
AGCGAACGCUGGCGGCAGGCUUAACACAUGCAAGUCGAGCGGGCACUUCGGUGUCAGCGGCAGACGGGUGAGUAACGCGUGGGAACGUGCCCUUCGGUUCGGAAUAACUCAGGGAAACUUGAGCUAAUACCGGAUACGCCCUUUUGGGGAAAGGUUUAUCUGCCGAAGGAUCGGCCCGCGUCUGAUUAGCUAGUUGGUGAGGUUAUGGCUCACCAAGGCGACGAUCAGUAGCUGGUCUGAGAGGAUGAUCAGCCACACUGGGACUGAGACACGGCCCAGACUCCUACGGGAGGCAGCAGUGGGGAAUAUUGGACAAUGGGGGCAACCCUGAUCCAGCCAUGCCGCGUGAGUGAUGACGGCCUUAGGGUUGUAAAGCUCUUUUCUCCGGGACGAUAAUGACGGUACCGGAGGAAUAAGCCCCGGCUAACUUCGUGCCAGCAGCCGCCGUAA